rnacentral:rRNA from 1 species
UACGUAGGGGGCAAGCGUUGUCCGGAAUCAUUGGGCGUAAAGCGCGCGUAGGCGGUCAGGUAAGUCCGGUGUGAAAGUCAAAGGCUCAACCUUUGAAUGCCGCUGGAAACUGCCUGACUUGAGUCCGGAAGGGGCGAGUGGAAUUCCUGGUGUAGCGGUGAAAUGCGCAGAUAUCAGGAGGAACACCAAUUGCGAAGGCAGCUCGCUGGGACGUUACUGACGCUGAGACGCGAAAGCGUGGGGAGCAAACAGG